GAACGAGGCCCAUUCAGUAGCAAUACUGAUGAAGGCCUAGUGGCGAACGGGUGAGUAACACGUGAGAAACCUAUCCUGGUCUCUGGGAUAACAGUCGGAAACAACUGCUAAUACCGGAUGCCGUCGGAGCGCUGCAUGGCGUACUGACGAAAGGGUUACUGGAUCAGGAGGGUCUCGCGGCCUAUCAGCUUGUUGGUGGGGUAAUGGCCUACCAAGGCAUCGACGGGUAGCUGGUCUGAGAGGAUGAUCAGCCACACUGGGACUGAGACACGGCCCAGACUCCUACGGGAGGCAGCAGUGGGGAAUCUUGCGCAAUGGGCGAAAGCCUGACGCAGCAACGCCGCGUGCGGGAAGAAGGCCUUCGGGUUGUAAACCGCUUUCAGAAGGAACGAAACUGACGGUACUUUCAGAAGAAGGUGCGGCCAACUACGUGCCAGCAGCCGCGGUGACACGUAGGCACCAAGCGUUGUCCGGAUUUAUUGGGCGUAAAGAGCUCGUAGGCGGUUCGAUAAGUCGGGUGUGAAAACUUUGGGCUCAACCCAAAGCGUGCAUUCGAUACUGUUGUGACUAGAGUUCGGUAGGGGAGUGGGGAAUUCCUAGUGUAGCGGUGAAAUGCGCAGAUAUUAGGAGGAACACCGGUGGCGAAGGCGCCACUCUGGGCCGAAACUGACGCUGAGGAGCGAAAGCGUGGGUAGCAAAC
rnacentral:rRNA from 1 species